CGUAGGGUGCGAGCGUUGUCCGGAAUUACUGGGUGUAAAGGGUCCGCAGGCGGACUUGUAAGUCGAUGGUGAAAUUUCCUGGCUCAACCAGGAACCUGCUGUCGAUACUAUAAGUCUUGAGUUCGAGAGAGGAUAAUGGAAUUCAUGGUGUAGCGGUGAAAUGCGUAGAGAUCAUGAAGAACACCGGUAGCGAAGGCGGUUAUCUGGCUCGAAACUGACGCUCAGGGACGAAAGCGUGGGUAGCAAACAGGAUUAGAUACCCUGGUAGUCCACGCCUUAAACGAUGGAUGUUCGGUGUCGGAUCGCAAGAUUCGGUGCCUGAGCUAACGCGUUAAACAUCCCACCUGGGGAGUACGAUCGCAAGGUUG
rnacentral:rRNA from 1 species